CUGCUUGAAUGUCUUCAUGAUGUGGUGGCUGACUUCCUCCAGAGCUGGUGAUCCAAGAGGGCAAGACAGCAGCUGCAUCUUUCGUGACCUAACCUCAGAAGUAACACUUUAUCAUUUCCACACUAUCUUACUGGUUACUUAGAAAAUCACUCCCAAAAUGUUAGAACAAGAAGAAACUUGUUCCUCCAUCUUCAAUGAAAAUAAGAAUCUUUAGAAACCCCACCAAGAUUGAAAGUAGUUGGAGAAUUGGUCAAAUUCAAGUGCCUGCGUUCGGAUUUGGGGAAGUGGUUGGCCACCUUAUUGCCCUUCAAGAAUGCUGACCAGUCAACAAAGCCCCUCCAUGUAGCAGGGGCCUUCCGUCAGCUCAGCUUUCAACAACAAGGGGCAACCAAAGAUCAUCAUACAAUUGGGGAGUGCCUCCAUCAUGAUAGAUGGAGACCAAAAAACUGACAAACCAGGGGGAAAAAACUCAAAGAAAACAGAAUUUCAGAGUCAUUGUGAGGACUAAGGAAAAAAACAAGAAAUUAUAACUCAUAUCUUCAGAGAUCUCAAACCCAUGAAGUAAAGA